rnacentral:rRNA from 1 species
CCUACGGCUGGCAGCAGUGGGGAAUAUUGGACAAUGGGCGAAAGCCUGAUCCAGCCAUGCCGCGUGUGUGAAGAAGGCCUUCGGGUUGUAAAGCACUUUCAGUGGGGAAGAAAGCCUUGGGGCUAAUACCCUCGAGGAAGGACAUCACCCACAGAAGAAGCACCGGCUAACUCCGUGCCAGCAGCCGCGGUAAUACGGAGGGUGCGAGCGUUAAUCGGAAUUACUGGGCGUAAAGCGCGCGUAGGCGGUCUGAUAAGCCGGUUGUGAAAGCCCCGGGCUCAACCUGGGAACGGCAUCCGGAACUGUCAGGCUAGAGUGCAGGAGAGGAAGGUAGAAUUCCCGGUGUAGCGGUGAAAUGCGUAGAGAUCGGGAGGAAUACCAGUGGCGAAGGCGGCCUUCUGGACUGACACUGACGCUGAGGUGCGAAAGCGUGGGUAGCAAACAGGAUUAGAUACCCUAGUAGUC